UCGCCUCCCUCCCUCCACCAGAAAUUCCAAGCUGAAGAAGUAGAAUAGGAGGAGGAGAAGCAAUAUGGAUCAUUACAUCACAGCUUUAUUGUAAAAAUACAGCUCUGUAAGUGUGUUUGUCCUAAUUUUGAAGACUUUGAUUAGUUAGAUUGCAACUUGAUUUACUCUUAUCAGAGAUUUGAUUCACUAGCAUACCAUCAUUAGAAAUUGAUAUUGCUGCUGUUGAAAUGGAUUACUCACCUGAAUAUUCACUAGAUUAUUAUGUUAAAUUGUUUGGUUAUGAUUAUGGUUUGGUUUGGCUGUGGUUUUGAAAUAGAUGUGAUUUGAGGUUUCUUUGUUGUUGAAACUUGAAACCCAUCCACUAAAGAAUACAAAAAUAGAAUAUAGAUUUCAAGUCUCCAAUAAAAAUGGGAGAAAAUCUUGAAGUUGGGUGAGAGGUGUAUAAAUAUGUCUUCUUUGUCUACUCUCAAGUAAUUUACAGGACAUAACUAAAAAAUCUAGGAAGGAUUCAGAUUCGGGUUUAUUAACUUCGGAUACGAGAUUGUGGAGUUGUGAAUUUGCUUUGCAUCCUUGGAUUCUUGUCGUUGAUCGUUCAAAUGUUGUUUACCAAGUUGAUUCGAGGUUUAACAAGACUAAUGCAAGCAUCCUAGCGAAGAUCAGAUGUGCCGCCACAUUCGGCAGAGCGGGUUCUGAUGGUUUUAAUUUCAGUAUAGCAAGUAAAUAUAGCCUACAUCGCUUUGAUACCAGAAAGCCACUAUCUCCUAUAUAGUGCAGGCUCACAAUCUGAUCUAGUUAAAAGUUGUAAUUGAUGCUGUUGAAAUGGAUUACUCACAAUCUGAUCUAGUUAAUUGUUUGGUUUUUCUGUGGUUUUGUAAUAGAUGUGAUUUGAGGUUUCUUUGUUGUUGAAACCAAUCCACUAAAGAAUACAAAAAAAAAAAUGUAGAUGUUAAGUCUCCAAUAACUAUGGGAUAAAACCUUGAGGUUGGGCGAGAGGUGUAUAAAAUAUUGCUUGGCAUCCUUGGGCGAGAGGUGUAUAAAAUAUUGCUUGGCAUCCUUGGACUUUUGCUUGGAAAAAUUGAUGCAAACACUUGCCACAUUCUGUAGAGCGGGUUCUGAUGGUUCUAAUUUCAGUACAGGAAGUGUUCAAUCUGUCAGAAUUAAGGUGCAAGGUAGAACAUAACGUAUGUUCGUGGGCCACUCAUUCUGGUGUUGCCAUUUUGCUAGAGUCAUUUUGGAAUAAUGGCUUCAGUUUCGGUGGCCGGUGGGUUCAGCUUCGUUAAGUAGAAGGGGAAACAAGCGGUAAAAAGAAGAAGGCACUACUAGAUCAGAAUUCGUGUGUGUAUGUAAUAAUGGAAGUUUGAAAAGUUCAAAUUUGACUAUUUAGAUUGGGAAGAAACUUGAAGUCUAAAUCAGCUAGAAGCACUGCUUGACAUCCAGAUGUACUUGAUGUUACCAAAGAAGUCAUGAAAGAUGUCUCCGCUCACCUCUAGCUUACAUCAAUGUUGGUCAAGCUGUUCCUAGCAUAAAGACUAUCUGAAACUGGCAGCAUCCACUCAGUUUCAGGAAUGUGCUAAACAAUGCUUUUUGUAAAUUGAUUCAGUUGUACACCAUCUCUUCCGCUGAUUGGAUUUCAGUCAGUUUGUCUUCCUAGAGUGAUGGCAUGCGUUGGAUCUAUCUUUGUCUGGUCACCAAUGCUACCGUGGUGAUUGCCGCGUACAAGAGGAAUUUUCAGCUUCAGACAGAAAUCGUGUUGGGAUUCUGCAUCAUCAAUGAAGAUCUCUUAGACAUCCAUCCUGAAUCAGGUGUUGUCGGCAGUUUUGGACUGAUGUUGGUGUCCUCUGGAAAGCUCAAAUUACAGAUAUGUAAUGCUUUCCGGGAGGUAGCUCAAAUCAGACUUCGGAAUCAUUGUCUAUACACCUCACGGCAGUAAGCAUGGCUUGACAUAUGAGAAAACGGGGAUGAAAUAGUUCUAGCAGUUGGUUCAUUUUAAGCAAGUCCAGCUCCGUAAGAAUGGUAACCAGAAAAGUCUCUUUUUGAGCAAGUUCAGUUUGAUAAGAAUGCUAACAGAAAAGUUCGACAGAAAUAGCACCGGCAUGCGUGUGUGUGAUAAUGGAAGCUUAAAAGAUCCAAGUUGACUAUUUAGAUUCGGAAACUCGAGGUAUAGGUCAGCAAGAAGCACUACAUCCAGAGGAACUUCAGGUUCCAGAAAAUCAUGAAAGAGCCUAACUCCAGCUCUCGUCAUUGUUGGUCAAACUGUGGCUAUCACAAGGGCUCUCUGAAAGUGACAACGGCUACUCAGUUUCAGGAAUGCGCCAAACUGAUUGUACUCCAUUCUCUUCCAAUGAUUCGGCUUCAGUCUGUUUGUCUUCCUUGAGCGACAGCAUUAUUUCUGUGAAGGAUAGUAAUGUGUGGCUUCUUUAAGAGAAUCUUGGCACAACAGACAAUGUCUACUAGAAAUCUAACAUUGCGUAAAAACUUUGCUUCCUGCUCUGAAUCUGGUGGCAAAGAGGCCUCCAGAUACUGGUUCAAUAUCAAAGUUCAAAUCUCCUCUGUCGUUUUCCAGAAACUAGUAUUCUUUUUGAAUAUUCAGUUGGGACACUCUCCAUCCCGGAUCCUCCUUGAUUUCUGACUUACUGUUCGGCUUUGUGGUAUUCAAUGUUUUAUUUCAUUUUUGUAUCUCCUUCUCUUUUUGGUUAAGCAUUUACCUUAUUUAGGAAUUUAGAAGAUGUUGGAUUCAAUAAACAUGAGAUUGAACCGAGAUUUUACCCAAAUGCA